rnacentral:rRNA from 1 species
GACGAACGCUGGCGGCGUGCUUAACACAUGCAAGUCGAACGGAAAGGCCCUGCUUUUGUGGGGUGCUCGAGUGGCGAACGGGUGAGUAACACGUGAGUAACCUGCCCUUGACUUUGGGAUAACUUCAGGAAACUGGGGCUAAUACCGGAUAGGAGCUCCUGCUGCAUGGUGGGGGUUGGAAAGUUUCGGCGGUUGGGGAUGGACUCGCGGCUUAUCAGCUUGUUGGUGGGGUAGUGGCUUACCAAGGCUUUGACGGGUAGCCGGCCUGAGAGGGUGACCGGCCACAUUGGGACUGAGAUACGGCCCAGACUCCUACGGGAGGCAGCAGUAGGGAAUCUUCCGCAAUGGGCGAAAGCCUGACGGAGCAACGCCGCGUGAGUGAUGAAGGUCUUCGGAUCGUAAAACUCUGUUAUUAGGGAAGAACAAAUGUGUAAGUAACUAUGCACGUCUUGACGGUACCUAAUCAGAAAGCCACGGCUAACUACGUG